AUGGACUUUUGCGAUAUUGAGCUUUUCAACUUGGCGUUACUUGCUCGCCAGGCUUGGCGCCUCUUGCAGGACCCUUCUUCUUUGAGUGGCCGGAUUCUCAAGUCCGUUUACUACCCCACGACUUCUAUUUUGGAAGCAGAGUUAGGUAACCAUCCAUCACAGGGCCUUAUCAGGAGGAUUGGCACGGGAGAGGAUACCAAAAUCUGGCAGGACAAUUGGAUCCCUAGGGAUUAUAAAUUGAGACCGGUGUGUUCUAAAUCUUUGAAUCCGCCUCAGAAGGUCUCGGAGCUGAUUGAUCAUAGCUCGACUUCUUGGGACACGACUGUGCUAGAUGAACAUUUUUUCACUAUGGAUAAGGAGGCUAUCCUAAACAUUCCUUUAAGUAAUAGAAUGAAAGAGGAUUUCUAGUCAUGGCACUAUGAAAAUAGAGGGAUGUUCACUGUACGCUCAGCAUACAGAUUAUUGGCUGCUACAAAGAAGCAACGCACAGACUGGUUAGAGCAUGUUCCGGGGCACUCUAAUGUUGAUUAUGAUCGGAAAUCCUGGAUGAAGUUAUGGGGAACCGAUAUCCCUUCGAAAAUCAAGGUCUUCGCGUGGCAGCUCGCGCAAACCUCCCUUCCCACAGGUGAGGUCCGAAACCAUAGAAAGAUGGCGGACACACCAGCUUGUUCAAUCUGCAAUGCAGAUUUUGAUACGUGGCGUUACUCUUUAUUUGAAUGCAGAAUGUCAAAGUGUGUCUGGGCUCUAGCUGAUGAG
rnacentral:rRNA from 1 species